rnacentral:rRNA from 1 species
UUCGUAGGCGGUGUGGCAAGUCGGGAGUGAAAUCUCUGGGCUUAACCCAGAGACUGCUUCCGAAACUGCUGUGCUUGAGUGUGGGAGAGGCGCGUGGAAUUGCAGGUGUAGCGGUGAAAUGCGUAGAUAUCUGCAGGAACACCCGUGGCGAAAGCGGCGCGCUGGACCACUACUGACGCUGAGGAACAAGCUAGGGAGCAAACA